UCCUCCUGAUACAUGUCGUGGGAAUUGGUCCUGCUGUGGAAGCAACUGCUACUACUUUUCAAAGGAAGAGAAAAGUUGGAAUGAGAGUAAGCAGUCCUGUGAAGCCCAGGGUUCUCAUCUCAUUAAGAUUGAUGAUGAGGAUGAGCAGCGAUUCAUUCAACAAAGAAUCAGAUACAACUAUUGGGUUGGAUUACACAGGAAAGGAACUACACAUCCCUGGUUGUGGCAGGAUGGAGUGGAACUUUCCCGGAAGCUGAGUUUUCAACCAAGUACCCCUGAUGCCAAAUGUGGAUACAUCAAGUUAACAAAUAUUGCUACUGCUGAUUG